ACACUCAAAAUAAUCCACACGUCAUUACUACGUGGAAAAUCACGUAAAUUCCUAGAAAUGAACUUUUUCUUCAAUUCACCUGACAAAGGUAACAGUUACCGGUCACUAAAUAAGACUGAAUUGUGGCUCCGGUCAUUUUUACUGUCUUGACCUAUCACACCUACGUGAAAAUCACGUACAUGCUUUAAUUCAUUCUGAUUGGCUGAAUGACCACGAUUCAUUCUGUGUUGUGAUAAAAUUUAAAGAUGGCUGCCAUUGAAAACAAACUUCAAGAUUUAGUGGAGUGAAGUUUUAUAAAACAAAUUCAAUAGUUUGGAAGGUAGGUUGGAUUAUUCUUCUGUUUUAUCUGUGUUCCUAAUAGUAAUAUUUUUGUUUUGCAGAGCGCAAUUUUUCAUAAAUACUUUGCCGCAAUGGUGGUAAAACGCGUAAAGAUUUCUCACUCACGAAGACAUUGCGGGCUGACGGAGCACAAUGUAUUCCGAAAUGUUUGUUUAAAAAAUAAGAUAUUAUUACGACUAUUCGCUCAAGGCUUCGAUGAAGGCUUCCGUCUGCAGCCAUUUCGAUGCGACUACACCGUAAAUCAAGAGCGCCUAUCAAAACGAUCAAAACAGCGUGUCGACUAUUUAUUAGUUUUAGUUUAACAAUAAAAGUGUACAUCCAUCUAACUAA